rnacentral:rRNA from 1 species
AGAGUUUGAUCCUGGCUCAGGACGAACGCUGGCGGCGUGCCUAAUACAUGCAAGUAGAACGCUGAAGAAAGGAGCUUGCUUCUUUUGGAUGAGUUGCGAACGGGUGAGUAACGCGUAGGUAACCUGCCUUGUAGCGGGGGAUAACUAUUGGAAACGAUAGCUAAUACCGCAUAACAGCUUUUGACACAUGUUAGAAGCUUGAAAGAUGCAAUUGCAUCACUACGAGAUGGACCUGCGUUGUAUUAGCUAGUAGGUAGGGUAACGGCCUACCUAGGCGACGAUACAUAGCCGACCUGAGAGGGUGAUCGGCCACACUGGGACUGAGACACGGCCCAGACUCCUACGGGAGGCAGCAGUAGGGAAUCUUCGGCAAUGGGGGCAACCCUGACCGAGCAACGCCGCGUGAGUGAAGAAGGUUUUCGGAUCGUAAAGCUCUGUUGUAAGAGAAGAACGUGUGUGAGAGUGGAAAGUUCACACAGUGACGGUAACUUACCAGAAAGGGACGGCUAACUACGUGCCAGCAGCCGCGGUAAUACGUAGGUCCCGAGCGUUGUCCGGAUUUAUUGGGCGUAAAGCGAGCGCAGGCGGUUUAAUAAGUCUGAAGUUAAAGGCAGUGGCUUAACCAUUGUUCGCUUUGGAAACUGUUAAACUUGAGUGCAGAAGGGGAGAGUGGAAUUCCAUGUGUAGCGGUGAAAUGCGUAGAUAUAUGGAGGAACACCGGUGGCGAAAGCGGCUCUCUGGUCUGUAACUGACGCUGGGGCUCGAAAGCGUGGGGAGCAAACAGGAUUAGAUACCCUGUAGUCCACGCCGUAAACGAUGAGUGCUAGGUGUUAGGCCCUUUCCGGGCUUAGUGCCGCAGCUAACGCAUUAAGCACUCCGCCUGGGGAGUACGACCGCAAGGUGAAACUCAAAUGAAUUGACGG